GGUUCUCGGGAACGGGCGGGCGGGGAUUGGCUGGGCUGGCACGGGGGGGCGGGGCUGUGCGGGCCGCGGGCUAUAAAUAGCGGGCGGGGGGAGCGGGGGGGGCAGUUCGGCGGCGGAGGUGGAAGCGGCGCUGGAGCUGCGGGAGCCGGGGCGAGAUCGGCGGUGAGCUGGGGCGGGACUCCCGCGGCUGCCGCUCCCGACGUGCAGCCCCGGGCUGCAGAGAUACCCAGGAGCAGAUUUAGGCAGAGGCAGCAGAAAGCUGAGGCAGAGGCAGCAGAAAGCUGAGAACCUGGAGCUCAGGCAGCAGAACUGGUGGAGACAUAAAGACGGUAGGACUGUGGGCAGAACAAGAGUGGGGCUGGAUUAGGGAGCAUGGACCUGGCAUAAGUACUGCAGGGAUGGAGCUGGGAUAAAAAUAGUCAGGCCUGGCCUGGAA